rnacentral:rRNA from 1 species
UGAAUACGAGAUGCUACGGCGUCGAAGCAGUCUAUUUCAUACUUCCAAGAAAAGCUCGCACUGUCAUAAACAAAUAAUGCCUGUACCAUAACCGACACAGGUGGGUAGGUAGAGUAUACUAAGGGGCGCGAGAUAACUCUCUCUAAGGAACUCGGCAAAAUGACUCCGUAACUUCGGGAGAAGGAGUGCCUUAUUUAUAAGGUUGCAAUAACAAGAUCCAAGCAACUGUUUAUCAAAAACACAGGUCUCCGCUAAGUCGUAAGACGAUGUAUGGGGGCUGACGCCUGCCCAGUGCCAGAAGGUUAAAGAAGUUGGUUAGCAUUCGCGAAGCUGAUAACUGAAGCCCUGGUGAACGGCGGCCGUAACAAUAACGGUCCUAAGGUAGCGAAAUUCCUUGUCGGGUAAGUUCCGACCCGCACGAAAGGCGUAAUGAUUUGGAUACUGUCUCGGAGAGGGGCUCGGUGAAAUAGACUUGUCUGUGAAGAUGCGGACUACCUGCACCAGGACAGAAAGACCCUAUGAAGCUUUACUGUAACUUGAGAUUGAAAUUGGACUUUACUUGCGCAGUAUAGGUGGGAGGCGUUGAUAAUAUUCUUGCGGGAUUAUUUGAGCCAUCAGUGAGAUACCACUCUUGUAAUGUUAGAUUUCUAACUUUGUAUCAUUAUCUGGUCAAAGGACAGUUUCAGGCGGGCAGUUUGACUGGGGCGGUCGCCUCCUAAACGGUAACGGAGGCGCACAAAGGUUUCCUCUGAACGGGUAGAAAUCGUAUCUAGAGUGUAAAGGCAUAAGGAAGCUUGACUGUGAGACCUACAAGUCGAGCAGGGACGAAAGUCGGUCUUAGUGAUCUGACGGUGCUGAGUGGAAAGGCCGUCACUCAACGGAUAAAAGUUACUCUAGGAUAACAGGCUGAUCUCCCCCAAGAGUUCACAUCGACGGGGAGGUUUGGCACCUCGAUGUCGGCUCAUCGCAUCCUGGGGCGGUAGUACGUCCCAAGGGUUGGGCUGUUCGCCCAUGAAAGCGGUACGCGAGCUGGGUUCAGAACGUCGUGAGACAGUUCGGUCCAUAUCCGGUGUAGGCGUUGGAAUAUUGAGAGGAGCCUUCUUUAGUACGAGAGGACCGAGAAGGACAUACCUCUGGUGUACCAGUUAUCGUGCCAACGGUAAACGCUGGGUAGCUAUGUAUGGAGUGGAUAACCGCUGAAAGCAUCUAAGUGGGAAGCCCACCUCAAGAUAAGUAUUCUCAU